rnacentral:tmRNA from 3 species
GGGGCUGAUUCUGGAUUCGACGGGAUUUGCGAAACCCAAGGUGCAUGCCGAGGGGCGGUUGGCCUCGUAAAAAGCCGCAAAAAAUAGUCGCAAACGACGAAAACUACGCUUUAGCAGCUUAAUAACCUGCUUAGAGCCCUCUCUCCCUAGCCUCCGCUCUUAGGACGGGGAUCAAGAGAGGUCAAACCCAAAAGAGAUCGCGUGGAAGCCCUGCCUGGGGUUGAAGCGUUAAAACUUAAUCAGGCUAGUUUGUUAGUGGCGUGUCCGUCCGCAGCUGGCAAGCGAAUGUAAAGACUGACUAAGCAUGUAGUACCGAGGACGUAGGAAUUUCGGACGCGGGUUCAACUCCCGCCAGCUCCACAA